UCCAUCUUCUGCUUUCUGAACUUACAGGAUGACUUCUGACCAGGUGAGUGUUGUUUAUAUUUAAAGGGACCAAGACUGGAUUUGACGUGUUUUGUCUGUAAAAUUAACUCUACAGACUCUGACAGUAGCUGUAGACUCUUCCGCGUAUAAGAAAAGAAAAUCAGACCCAAAACUGAACCUUGAGGUACACCACAGCUAACGGCAGAGAUAGAGAAGGAGUAAUUACCUGUGGUGUCUGAAACGUUUGGUCUAAAAGAUAAAAACCAAACCAGCUAAUUGCAGAGUCCCUAAUAUCCGCCUAAUUAAAAACGGCGAUCAAAGGUAUCAGACGCCGCACUAAGACGUUGAAAGAAUCUCAAUCACACCCUCCCCCGCCUGCUGCCAAAGGUAAAUCAUCAGUCACUGUGUCUGUGACCGGCUCUAAAACCAGACUGAAAUAUACGGGAAUUAUCUCACAGUGAAGGAAAAUUAAACUCACCAAAAUUAACUUAAAACUCUGAAGUUAUCAUGAGUUUAAACCCACUGAACAUGUUUGUAAUACUUCUGUUUCCAAGUGUUUCCACUUUGGAGGAGCAGCGAGUCUUUUAUGGAAACUUUCAUCUGUUUCUUUUACAUAUCCUCUCUGAUCAACAUCAUUCAUUUAGUUCUUUGUGUUCAUCGUACCAAAGUUUAAUCAAUUAGCUUUAAAGAUCUACUCCAGUGAAAAAAAAAACACUUUAAAACAGUGAAUACAGGACUCUCGUUAUAAUUUGGCAGGAAUAGAAGAUGUAAACAUCGAGACUUAAUAAGUAGUUGAACAAAUUAAAAAAAAAACAAGUUUGAAAAAUGGAAAAUUUGUCCGGACGGCUGAUGAUCUGACUGUGAACAAAACAUAACAGACAUCUGAGGAGAAAUCUGUCUUUUCUUGAAACUCGUCAAUAAUCGGUUAGUCACGAAUGAUUAGCUUUGAAAUGGUGAUCAGUAAUUAGUGCUUCUACAAGAAUUAGCCGUUACUCUUCCUGUGCUCCGAGCUAACAAUAAUUUGGUAAAGCUAGGAUAAAUGUGAGCGUGUCCAGUUUUUGUACAACUUUAGAAAUUCAUCAGAAGUUUUAAAACUCAGACUAUAUUACUUUACACAACGACUGAGACUUGAUUCAAGUGAAGGUGAUCUGUUGAUUUUUCCUUCUUCAGUAAAAAGUAUAAUUGAGUGUCAUCUGUAUUUCCUGAUUUCUGAGUACUUUGAGUGAAAAAUGAAAUGGUUUAUUUUAUCAUCUUUCUAAACAAAACCACUGAAAACGAUGUAGUACAUAUGCCAAGCCAGUAGGUGGCGCUGUAACGCUGCACAGGAAAUGCACAAAAGACAGAAGAAGAGUCCAGAGCAUGUGUAUGAAGGUUGUUUUGGCGCCGAGUUACUCUGUGUGUCACAUGAUCGUUUCCAGAGAUGCAGAUAGACAUCCACACGGAGAUGAAAUGGUCGUCGUUUACGGAUUUAUUCACUCUCUGACCCGUUUUCAAAAAGUACAGUUUACAGUCACCUGAAACGCCGAUACGACAAAAAACUUUUGCGUUUACUCCUGAUUUUGUUUCCGUGGUGACGGGUUGAUACCGCCUUCAGACAGACUUUGCAGCAGGAAGUGGUUUACUCUUCAUCUGAAACUGUGAAGUCGUACCAAUUCAACACGACUGACUCGCUCUUGUCCUUUUUAACCACGAAAUUAUCGCCUUCUUUUGCAAACGCCGUGUUUGUUUACACCGUUGUGUGAGGGAACUGGGGAGCGCUCCCACAGGAAGGAGGAGCCUACAGUGGCCUGGAGGUGCGAGACAUGAUCGAAAGGAAAAUCAAUUUGAGGAUUUUAAUUUUUUUUAGACUCAUCAUAGUCAAAUAAUCUGAUUACAAUUUAAAAUCAAUCGUGUAGCCCUAGUGUAUAUAAAAUAAAAAUAAUUGGUCCUAGCAUUGAACCCUGAGGAACUCCAUCACUAACCUUUGUACGCACUGAUACCUGAAAACUGUACCGUCUUUGUGAAACAUUUGAAACACCAAAUUAAACUGAACAUUUACAUAAAACAGAAAAAGUUCAGAUUUAUUAUUUGACGUGUUUUAUUUUUCUCUAUUUUAAUGAAAUCUGGAGUUUAAUGAUUUGGAAACAGACAUGUUGUUUUCAUUGAGCAGCGUCUUAAUAGUCUCAUAUGUGAUGUUUGGAUAUACAACAUGUAAAAAUAUGUAAAUCCCAUCUGUAUACAUUAAAUCAUCUCUUUGUGUCACUGAUGAUUAAUCAUGAAGAAAAGGUUUAAGACUCUCGGGUUAAUUUAAAUCCUUGUUCAGCAUCAAACCAGUAUGGCGUCCUCAAAGUGAAAGUGCUAAUCAUCUCACUCCGCGGUGUCAGACGUGCAAAUCUGACAUUUUUUCUCUGUCUCACUUAAUCUUAAUCAACAUAAAGCUGCCAUCAUUAAUCCUCUUUUUCUCCUCUCACGCAGAUCAAUGUUUCCUUUUCCAGAGCAAAGAUAGUAAUUAAUCCUCCGUCCAACAGAGCCUUCAGGCAUGACCAUUCGUCAAAGGGCCUGAUCAAUGCCGCCUCCUAUUCUUCUGCGCUCAGAAAAUGAGUAGCCCGUUUUUUUUUUUUUUUUUUAAGGCUCGUGUUUUACAUUCCAUCUCUGAGAAUCGAUGAGUCCUAUAAGAGCCGAAUAAUUAAUGCCGCAGCACAGAAAAUCUGAAACUCUCGCCGAACAGUUUUCAGUUUAAACUUCAGCCCCGGAGCUCCGGAGGGAGAAAGUUUGGAGAUUCAGCUUCCUGUUAGAGUUAUUUCUGUAAUAAAAAGUUCAACAUUGAUAAUGACGUUUCUGAAGAAAGCUGAAUAAUAGAGGUUAUUACAGAUGAAACUAAGAGAAGCAGGGAGGGCUGGAGCACCAGAGCAGUCUGGACACAACAGAUAGGGACCGGACAGCAAGAGUGGAGGGGUUAUUGCCUAUUUAUCAAGAGUAAGGUGCAUGAAAUUGGCUCUUAACCUCACAGUUAGAGAGUUUAAUUAGAAACCAUGCUUUUGUAACAGAAAGGUGUGAAGAAGAGGAGGGGGAAGGUAAAAAAAAAAUACAAACAGGGUGAUAAAUGACUUGUGGGACAGGAGGCUUGGGAGGGACGGCGGGAUGCAGGUCAGUAAAAGUGAAAUGUAGGCGACAGCUCCAGUGGCGGCAGGAGGUGAGACGUCAGGGCGAAGGGAGCGGGAGAUCGCAGCUGAAGUGCCAAACAGCACCUCAGAGCUGUGCGGGCUGUUAUUAACGCAGGGGUGAGGGAGGGAGACAGGGUGAGGAUCAGCACAACAAACAGGCUGACAGCAGGCUGACCUCCGGUGAAAAUAUGAAAAGACUCCGAGUCAGUGAGUCACCGGCAGGAAGGAGAAAUGAGGAUUUAGUCUAAUUUUAGGUCAGUCUGAAUUAGACGGAGAAAAAAACUGAUCAGCUGAUGUUAGUGGAGAAGAAAACCUCUAAAUGUUUUUUCAUCAGUAUGGUCAGUGUUUACAAAUUAUUAUAUUAUACAUGACAAAUUUACAUUAUGAUAAAUAUAAGAUUUACUGAUAAACAAACCUCAGAAUCAGCGCAGACCAACAACAUGUUUGUAACAAAGAGAGUCUGAAAGUCAGGAGCUAAAAAAAAAAACACACAGAUCCUGAAUCAUCAGGUUUUCACUUUUGGUUUGGAAAAACACUAUUCAUCCAUCCAUCCAUUAAUCAGUUCAUCCAUCAAUUCAUCCACCCAUUAUCCAUCCAUCAUUCCAUUUAUUCAUUGAUCCACCCAUCCAUUCAUCCAUCCAUCAAUCAAUUAAUUCAUUAUCCAUUCAUCCAUCCAUUAAUCUAUCCAUCCAACCAUCCAUCCAUUAUCUGUUCAUCCAUUAAUCAAUUCAUCCAUCCAUCCAUCCAUUCAUUUAUUCAUCCCUCCAUUAUCCAUCCAUUCCUCCCUCCCUCCCUCCAUCCAUCCAUUUUUUCUCCAUCCAUUAUCCACCCAUUGAUUAUCUAUCCAUCCAUUAAUCAAUUCAUCCAUCAAUUCAUUUCUUCAUCCAUCCACCCAUUAAUUCAUCAUCAAUCAAACCUUUUAUUCAUCCAUCCAUGUAUCUAUUAUCAAUCCAUCCAUCCAUUCUUCCCUCCAUUUAUCCAUCCAUCCACCCAUCCAUUACCUGUCUAUCAACACAUUCAUCCCUUCAUCCAUCCAUUGAUUAUCCAUCCAUCCAUUUAUCAAUUCAUCCAUCCAUUCAAUUCUUUAUCCAUUCAUCCAUCCAUCUAUCCAUUAUCUAUCUAUUUUUCCAUCCAUUCAUUAUCUAUCUAUCUAUCUAUCUAUCUAUCUAUCUAUCUAUCUAUCUAUCUAUCUAUCUAUCUAUCUAUCUAUCUAUCUAUCUAUCUAUCUAUCUAUCUAUCUAUCUAUCUAUCUAUCUAUCCAUCCAUCCAUCCAUCCAUUCUUGUUUGUUUGUCUAGUUUCUGGUAUUUUAUAUCUAGUUUUUCUCUAAACUAAAAUUAUCUCAGUCCUGCUUUAGCCUUUAGUGAUUAUUAAUAAAUUCAGACUGUGAAUUUUUGAAAAGAUACCUGUAAUAAUAAAACAAAUAAGUUUUUUAAUGAACCUUAAUAAUCAGGUCAGACUGAGUUUUAAUGUUAUUAGACCCAGAAUUUUAGAGAAGCUGUUUUUCUUCCACAUUAAGAUGUAAAACCUUUAAAAUCGUAUAUUUAUGAGUUAUCACUCUCACUGCCUGUAACCCUUCAUCAACAGAGCUCUAAGCUGUUAUUAUCACUCAUAAUAGUUGUAUAAUAAACCCUUAUAGAUGAAUUUUAAGGCUUUAUAAGUGUGCUUUUGCUGCAUUAUCAGCAGUGGGUUCAUAUAAAGUGUUUCCAGACUUUCUUUCCAGGAUUUCUGAGACCUGUGGAGUUGGAGGUAAAUUAGGUCAGCACCUCAUCAUCACGGUGGAGCUUUGUGCUGCAGAAAUCGAGGGAGGAGAGAGCUCGCUGCUAAAACCUGCACUCUGCUAAUAUCCGACUAAUGGAGCGGCUAUAGUGUCGGAGAGAUCUGUGGAGGGACUCUGAGGGAUUAAAAGCCCUGAUGGAAAUAACUCUUCAGAACGUGGACUUCUUCUCAGGGUCCGGGUUCUGCUUUUUCACACCAGGAAACUUUUCCCCUCUCUCACAGACGUGAUGUUACCGUUGACCGGAGAUGACUCUGAUCUCUGACUCCGUGUGCUCCACAUGAAAAGGUCUCUGAUUGCACGAAAGGCCAGACUGAUGACACUAUUUCAAACUGCAGCGAGGAUGUGAGCGACUCUUGUUGUUCUGGUGACGCGGCGGCGACGGCGGCACUUUGAUUCAGACUCUGUCUGCUAGAGGAAAAACGAUAAAUCAUUUGGAAGGCAGGUUUGUGGAGGAC